UUGCCUUGUCUUGCUAUGGAGGAGACCGGAGUCAGCCGAAUGAAUUGCUUCGCUGUACAUGUAAUCGUACAUCCUAUCACUUUAUUACGCGGCUGAUACGACCCGACACGCGCUGAAAUACUCCUCUCUGGGGAUUGAAUACA